AGUUCUCUCAGCUCCGUUAACCUCUCUCUCUCUCUCUGCCUCAGCUGAAUUGCUAGAAUGAGUCCACCUCGCCGACUCUCCAUUUUUGCAUGCCUCAUCCUCCUCCUACACGAAGCUCCGCCGACAACCGCCUUGAGCGGCGAGGAUUUCACCGGCGGCUAUUCCAAGCUCUCAGGCAUCAUAAUCCCCGGCUUCGCCUCCACUCAGCUUCGAGCAUGGUCCGUCCUGGACUGUCCUUACUCGCCUCUCGACUUCAACCCUCUCGACCUCGUCUGGCUAGAUACAACCAAACUUAUUUCUGCAGUGAAUUGUUGGCUUAAAUGCUUGGCGCUGGAUCCGUACAAUCAAACAGAUCACCCUGAGUGCAAGUCACGACCUGAUAGUGGUCUUUCUGCAAUCACUGAACUUGAUCCAGGUUAUAUAACAGGUCCUCUGUCUUCAGUAUGGAAGGAAUGGAUUAAGUGGUGCAUUGAGUUUGGUAUUGAGGCUAAUGCAAUCCUUGCUGCUCCAUAUGAUUGGAGAUUGUCACCAUCAGUGCUUGAGGAACGAGACCUUUACUUUCACAAACUAAAGCUGACUUUUGAAACUGCUCUCAAACUUCGUGGUGGUCCCUCUGUAGUUUUUGCCCAUUCGAUGGGUAAUAAUGUCUUUCGUUAUUUUCUGGAGUGGUUAAAGCUGGAAAUUGCUCCAAAAAAAUAUAUCCAAUGGUUAGACGAACAUAUUCAUGCUUAUUUUGCUGUUGGAGCCCCUUUUCUUGGUUCAACUGAGGCAGUUACAGCAACAUUUUCUGGACGCACGUUUGGUCUUCCUCUUUCUGAGGGAACAGCUCGAUUGAUGUUCAAUUCAUUCGGUUCUUCAUUGUGGAUGAUGCCGUUUUCCAAGAAUUGUAGAUCAAAUAAUAUGUAUUGGAAGCAUUUCUCUGGUGGGAGCCAAAAGCAUCAUCACACUUACCAGUGUAAUGAACAGGAAUUUCAAUCCAACUGUUCUGGAUGGCCCACUAAUAUAGUCAAUAUUGAAAUUCCUUCAAUGCAUGGUAUUGAUGCCUAUCCACCACUUUCAGAAGUAGCACAGACUAACUUAUCUUCCAUGGAAUGUGGACUGCCUACCCAGCUGUCUUUCUCUGCUCGUGAAAUAUCAGAUGGGACCUUGUUUAAAGCAAUAGAGGAUUAUGAUCAAGACAGCAAAAGGCUCUUGUAUCAUUUACAGAAGUUCUAUCACGAUGAUCCAGUUCUGAAUCCACUUACACCUUGGGACAGACCACCUCUGAAGAACAUCUUUUGCAUCUAUGGAAUAGAUUCAAAGACAGAGGUUGGUUACUAUUUUGCACCAAGUGGCAAGCCUUAUCCUGAUAAUUGGAUCAUAACUGAUGUCAUUUAUGAAAUGGAAGGAUCUUUAUUCUCAAGGUCUGGGAAUCUUGUUGAAGGGAACUCUGGAGCUGCAAGUGGGGAUGAGACGGUACCUUACCAUUCUCUAUCUUGGUGCAAAAACUGGCUUGGACCAAAAGUGAACAUAACAAGGGCUCCACUGUCAGAGCACGAUGGGUCUGAUGUGCAAGUGGAACUAAAUGUAGAACAUCAGCAUGAAGCAGAUAUAGUUCCCAACAUGACACGGUCUCCUAGGGUUAAAUACAUAACGUACUAUGAAGAUUCUGAAAGUAUUCCGGGAAAGAGGACAGCUGUUUGGGAGUUUGAUAAAGGUUCUCAUAGGAACAUUGUUAGAACCCCAGCUCUGAUGCGGGAGUUGUGGCUCCAGUUGUGGCAUGAUAUUCAUCCUGAUGCAAAAUCAAAAUUUGUUACAAAAGCAAAGCGUGGACCUCUAAGGAAUGAGGAGUGUUACUGGGAUUAUGGAAAAGCUCGGUGUGCAUGGCCUGAAUACUGUGAAUACAGGUAUGUCUUUGGAGAUGUUCACCUAGGACAGAGCUGUAGAUUAAAGAAUUCUUCAGCUCAUAUGCUUUUGAGUUAUUUAUAGAUUUCAAGUUGGAGAAGAAUGUGCAGAUUGACGGGGUGUUUCUUGCCUUUGCAGUUGCUCUGUGGGAGAGUCUAGUUUUCCUUGCUUCCCUAUGGUCUUCUGCUGCUGGUUUCUUCAAGGGGUUUUUGAUGAGGCAUUGGUGCUGCAAUGGACAGUUGAUGCUUUCUUGUUGGUGUAGCAAUGGUAUAAUGGUAUUAGGAGGAGUAAGAGAAGCAUUGUCUUACGGAGAUGAUCUGUUUUUGCCCUUUUUUGGACCUUGUGGAAUGAAAGGAAUGCAAAAAUUUUUAAUGGAAAAACUCCUCCCUUACAUCUAUUAAGGGAUGAACUAUUUUACUUGCUUCCUUUUGGGCUUUUGGGAAUUUUUUCAGGGAAUUUUGUUGAUUGAUCUUUUGAAGGAUUGGAGAGGGGUUCUAACGUGACUCUGUUUUUGUUUGUUUUUUGGAGGAUAUCUUAUCCUCUACUCUUUGUAACUUUCUCUCUUUUCUGUGAAUGAAGUUCUUUUUCUAUUUAAAAAAAUUAGAAUCAAAUACUCCAGCAAAAUACACUUCCUAAAAAUUUCCAACAAUUGGAAGCAAUAUCUUAAAAUUGUCGUAGUUUACUAUUCAAAAUAGGUAAAUAGUUUAAUUUGACCACCAAUUCAAGUAUUAAAAAAAUUGGAAACAUUUUCCAAAUCAAAACUGAUUUUUAUGGAAACAAAAUAUUUAUUUUACUGAAAAAUAUUAAUAAAAAAUAUCAUAAAAUAAAUUUUAAUUUCCAAAAUUAAUUUACAUGGAACAUGUCUGAUGCCCUAAGCUUGACAUCAUGCCAAGUUGAGAAUGAUAAUUACUGCCACAAGUGCGGUGCUACUCAUUUUUGGCUAUUACACAUGGUGGGGCCAAAGUUACCCAUGGGUCACCACUAUCAUGGUGGCUUCCAGCUGCUGGUGACUAGAAACUAAGCAAAACCAUGAGGGGCUGUUUGGUAUCAAUGUAAAAAAUUAUAACGAAAAUUAGAAAUGAAAACUAAAAACUAGAAACUUAUAUUUCUAAAACUAAAAUAAAUUAAAUAACUUUAUUAAACAAAUGCUCAUUUUUGUCCUUGAAUCAAAUAACAAUUUAAAAGAUAUGAUUAAAAUUUAAAAAGAAGCACAAUAUAAUACAAAUUAAAACUACUAAAAUAAAAAUAAAAAUUGUUGUAAUUAUUUUACUUAAUUAUUAUAUUUCAAAACACUUUACAAGAACAUCCUUAUUGUACAUAACAAUUGAAAAAUAGUAAAAAAUAUUUUAUAGAUGACUUUAUCAUUUUUAAAUUUUUUGUAGUUUUAUGAAAAUUUUUAUAUUUUAAAUUCAUAUGAUCAUUUUUAUUUUAUUUUAAUUAAAAAUUAUUUAUAAAAUGAAUGAUUUAAUAAAAAAAAGAAGUUAAUUUUUAAUAUUAAAAUAUGUCGGCAACAAGGUGCCAAAACAGUAGAAAACCAUAAAAUCAAGUUUUAAGUUUUUUUGAAAAUAGCUGAAAACCGACAAUAAAAAUGGAAAUGUAAAUAAAUGUGUUUUCAUAAUAGUUUCUUCACUGUACAGAAAUGAAAACAAAAAUAAAAAAAAUAAAAAAACAAAAAGGAUACCAAACUGACCCCGAGUAACCCAAUAUUGAUAAGGUGCUGGAAUUUUCCAAUUAUUCAUGUUAUUUCUCCAAUGGCAGCUGUCAAAUACUGAUUUAAUGCCUUCUAGUCGAUGCAUGAAUGUCCCCUAAUAACGCAUGGAGGCUACCAGCCCAAAAUCACAAUCAAUAUUCAUAGAGAAGCAUGAAUCCUCGCGUAGUCCUAUGGUUCAAAUUUGGCGAGGCAUGGAACAAGUUUAGUGCCCCAUUGAUGUUGAAGCAAGAAUUGUUGGACUACUGCUAAGGUUCAAUUGUGGCAAAGGCAUGGAACAGCUUUAGUACCCCAUGAUCAAUCAUGUGGGUGCCAAUGCAAGGCCAUCCAAUGCAUGAAGGAAAAUUAAUGAAAAGCAUAGUUAAUCAUUGUAUAACCAUAACCAUACAAACUCAACCAUUCCACGCAUAACCAUUAUACAACAUGAAAGCCAAAUCAAAACCAAGAAAUAUCUAGCUUUUGUAUGCAUUAAUUACAGCAACGUAACAACUUUCAUACCAGGAAAUCGAAGAUGUGCUAAAUUGUUCUCUAUCAAAUCAUAGUCUAGAGCCAAAUGAAACUGAUUCCACUUCCACUUGAGCAAGAAGAGCUACCGACUCUAAAGUAUGCUGACCACAGACUGACUAUAGCACCAACAGCUAGCUCGCUGUUACCUGGUAUCAGAUCUUUCCUAAAUGAAUAAUUUGCCCCUUCUCCCAAGGGGGGCCGACGUAGCUUCUCCGGACCCAAGUGUUCGUAUUGGAACAGACAUAGCGCUACUCUUCCUAAGGAACGUAGCACUAGUUCUCUUCUUUUUAUCGGGAGGGAAGUGCUGUUCUACUCAUAGCCAUGUUCCUGAAGCCCCCAAAAACGCGUAGGGAACGGGGCAUAUGAGGGGUAGAACGGUGCUUACCUCCCUCAAGAGUGUUUCCUCUUUUUGGCUUGAAGAGAAGUGUCUUAAUUCGCUUGUUAGUGAGCAGAUAUCAUUGCAAAACAAUCAUUUUUGCAAGACUAUGCGGCGAAAACGAACAAAAAUAAUAAAAGCAUGCACAGAACCAUGACUCUACAACAUUUGAGAAUCAAUAAUGAGAACAGGAGAACACCAACUUUUGGAUUCAAUGUAGCUUUACAAGUUCUCUUUUUGAGGCUAAUGCAAUCAAGAAACUCUCACAACCAUUUAAGUAUUUCCCUUCGUUACGAUUUUUUCCCUCAUGCAUCUUAUGCAUUUAUCCCUCUUUUUAUUCUCAUUUUACUUUGUCCUAUUUGUGUGUGGCCAGUUAGAUUUAUUGCAGAAAAGACAAGCUUUAGGAAACAUACACCUGUAAGCCAUUGGAGUUUUAUGGAAUAAAAUGUCAUUGUGAACUACAGUUGUUUCUUUUUCAAAUGAUUGAUUUUUCUGGGGGAGAUUUUCUCUUGAAUUUAGUUGUAAGUUUGCUUUGACCCUGCUGAGAUGUCGUUGAUUCUUAACCCAUGUUUUAGGACAAAACCCCAUAUAAAAAGUUAGGUUUGAGUCGAGACCUCUUUGGAGAAAUUAUUCCAUGUAUGUUUGACGUAGCAUUUGGAAAAAAUAUAGAUGACUUUUGGUGCACUGUUAUAAUGGUGUUGUGUCUGUGUCUAACAUUUGACAGUCUUGGGAUACACUUCCAUCAUGUAUACUUAUAUUUUGUGUGUGUGUGUGUGUGUGUGUUAUGUCCAGUGUUUGAUAAAUGUAAAAAUUUCAAGAUAUAUUUUUCAUACAAACUACUAAUUGUAAAUUUUUUAUAUAUAUUUUUACUUGUUGAAAAAGCAAAGAUAAUUCCAUUUAGACUUACACUAGAAGAGGCUCUAACAUGUGGAGGCAUAUUGUGACACAUUAAUGGCUUGAAAUAAUUCAAUGUACACUCAAUGUGGUACUUAUCUCUCAUCAAAGCCCACAACUGUUUUGAUAAGCAAUGAUAACCCUGUCAAGACUUCGCACAUACACUCCACAAAGUCUUGACUUUUGGAGGCAUACGCAGAUGCUUCAAGGGUCUGAAAUAACUCGCACGCACUUGAUAAGAACUUAGCCCUUACAAAAAUCUACUACCUUUUUUUUUUUGGGUAGAAGCAAUGAUAAUCCUGACAAGACUUGCACACAUACAGAAGAAAAGCACAAAUUUUGGUGAUGUGCGAAUUUUUGGUUUUAUUCUUAAUAUAUUAUUUACUAGGGUAAAAUACACUGACUUCCUAUAAAGUUUGUUAAAAAGUUACAAUCCCCUUUAGCAUUCCAAAAA